rnacentral:rRNA from 1 species
UGGGGAAUAUUGGACAAUGGGGGGAACCCUGACGCAGCCAUGCCGCGUGAAUGAAGAAGGCCUUAGGGUUGUAAAGUUCUUUCGGUAUUGAGGAAGGUUGAUGUGUUAAUAGCACAUCAAAUUGACGUUAAAUACAGAAGAAGCACCGGCUAACUCCGUGCCAGCAGCCGCGGUAAUACGGAGGGUGCGAGCGUUAAUCGGAAUAACUGGGCGCAAAGGGCACGCAGGCGGUUAUUUAAGUGAGGUGUGAAAGCCCUGGGCUUAACCUAGGAAUUGCAUUUCAGACUGGGUAACUAGAGUACUUUAGGGAGGGGUAGAAUUCCACGUGUAGCGGUGAAAUGCGUAGAGAUGUGGAGGAAUACCGAAGGCGAAGGCAGCCCCUUGGGAAUGUACUGACGCUCAUGUGCGAAAGCGUGGGGAGCAAACAGGAUUAGAUACCCUGGUAGUCCACGCUGUAAACGCUGUCGAUUUGGGGGUUGGGGUUUAACUCUGGCGCCCGUAGCUAACGUGAUAAAUCGACCGCCUGGGGAGUACGGCCGCAAGGUU